rnacentral:lncRNA from 1 species
GGAUGCACAGAGUGUAAGAGGAGGAGUAGAUUAGUAUUUUAUCUUACUUGGAAGAAAAAGAAGAAGGAAAUUGGUCCAGAAACUGAUCAAAUCACUUUUAUGCUGCCUGCAACAAAAGUAUUUUCUAACAUUUAGACUAGACUGUUUUAUGAUUUCAUUCUGUAAGGGAGGCCUACCUCAUCGAAAAUUUUGUUGAAAACUUCUUAUGUUACAUGGUCACAUAUAUAAACUUAAAAACUUACAUCGAACCAAAUGCUUUGGGUCCAAAAUGGAAGAUAGGAAGAAGGUGUGGAAAAUACAAAAAAUCAGAUUCAGUUUACCAUGUACUUUUAGGAAUUGGCAUUAGGUUACUGAAAUUUUGUCAUUACUCCCUCAACCAUUUAAACAUUAAAGGAAAGAAAUUGGAACCGGAGGCUCCACAAUGUUGUCAAAUUUGGUGCCCAAUUUGACAAAGCCGGUACAUCUACAUGUUGGUAAACAGAGGAAGGAUCAUGGAUGGUUUGGACUCAGAAUUCUGUAUUGAUACUCGUCCAAGCAUGAGUGAUGCUGAGGACGCAUAGAUUACUGUUAUCGUUUAUUGUACAUGUUAGAUAAUGUAGUGAAUUUGGAGAACCUUGGCUUCCAGUCAAUAGAUAAGUCCUGUGUAUGUACGUUGUCGCAGUUAUUCAACUAGAGUUUGAUAUAUAGAUGUAUGCUAAAAUAGUUUUACCAGCAAUUACCAAGGUCUUUUAUAUUUUAACUGGUGCUUGAGACUUCUUUGAAGUUGUUAAUUCACAUAUGCAUGAAGGUCAUUAAGUAAAAAUUUGAUUUUUGCCUGCAGCUUGGAUGUUUGGCAUGCUUUGAGCACUUAAAUCCA